GGGGUUGUACUGGUUUCGACGGGGAUUUAGAAAUUAUGGAAGCCAUCCGUGGACCAGAGCCACGUUAAAAGCUGGAAAUCUAAAUAUAAACGCAGACGAAAAAUUUGCAUUAGCUGCCUAAGGGCGGCAGUCGGCCUUGAGUCUCCCGUAGCUUAAGUUUACCGGCUUCAUCCAUGCGGGGCACUCGAUUGCCUAAGCUUUGCGGCAGUCGAAGACUUAUGAAGCUACUGAAACAAUCAGCCCGUUCGUAGGCGGUUUGUUGAGGGAAUGAAUGUAUGCGGACUGUGAUGGAAGAAACUGUAGUGGAAGGAUCUUCGGACGCGGGUUCGAUUCCCGCCAGCUCCAUAU
rnacentral:tmRNA from 1 species